rnacentral:rRNA from 1 species
GACGGAGGGUGCAAGCGUUUGUUCGGAUUGACUGGGCGUAAAGGGCGUGUAGGCGGUCGGCCAAGUCUGAUGUGAAAGCCCGAGGCUCAGCCUCGGAAGUGCGUCGGAAACUAGUCGGCUGGAGCGCGAUAGAGGAGGGUGGAAUUCCUGGUGUAGCGGUGAAAUGCGUAGAUAUCAGGAGGAACACCGGCGGCGAAGGCGGCCCUCUGGAUCGUUGCUGACGCUGAUACGCGAAAGCGUGGGGAGCAAACAGG